UGCAGGAUGAUUAUCCAAAUGGGUCAACCAAAUAAGCUCACCAGUUCUCCUUUCAAGACCAAUAACAACAGCAGGUCCAUAAAUUCCAACAAUCAAUAAAUCUUCAGCCACAGUUGGAGUUGCUCUAGCCACUGACCAAUUUACAGCUUUGAUAAUUCCAGUUGCAUUUAAACCUGUCAAUUCCUCCAAAUUUUGCUUCCAAACAAGUGAUCCAUCAAUUUGUUUAAUUGCAUAUAUGUUACCAUUCCAGCAUGGAAAAUAAAUUGUACCAUUGUAUAUUGUUGGUGUUGCUGUAAUAUCUUUGCCUGCAUUGAAUUUCCACUUCAAACUUAGGUUAGAAACCGUUUCUGGAUUGAUCUUGUGUUCAUUGUAUGCAUACCUUCUAUUGAAUAAAUCUCCACCAUGGUUUAUCCACUAAUUAACAAGCAAUUAAUCAGUAGCAAACUUAUUGGAUUAUUACAAAAUCUAGAGUUACUUAACUUAAAAAAAAUAAAAAAUAACUCAAGGAAUAUUAAAUUUUGGGAAGUAACUAUAUCUUACAUCUGAUUGUAAGCUUGAAGCAAAAACUAGUACCACAUGAACACAAAACAAAAGCAAACAAAGGAUAGUAUUUAUCAUCCUGAAUUUUUGCGGUAACUUGGAAUUUAGCUUAAAGAUGGUGUGACAAUUAGCAAGAUGUUUGCUUCGGAAAUUGAUUACAAAUAAUGACUAUAUAUUUAUAUACACACAAAUUUUUUCCGGUGACAAAUAACUCAUAUAAAUAGAGAAAUAAUAUUUUGUGACAAUUUGAAAACAAUUAUCUCAUGCUCUUAUUAUGUUUUUACUCAAUCUCUAUUGCUUUAAUUUUCGUAACAAUACCUACAUUUCUUUGUAUAUAUUUGAUUAUCAUAUAAGUUGUUCAAAAAAUGAUUAUUCAAAUAACAUACAUCUAUAAAUAAGGGCAAUCAGAUAUGGAUAUUUGACUUCAAAUUCACAUUUCUAAUAUUAUAAAAUACUGACGUAACAUUAUCUUUGCAUUUUUAUCUUGAUAUAAAUAUCGUUUUUUACCAAACAUAAAUAUAAUUUGUAUUUAUAUUUUUUUGUUGAAAAUUCAGUAUUCGUAUUAAUUUACUAUCAUUAAGGCUGACAUUAACAUUUUGUCAACACAAAUAGGCAGACAUUAACGUGUUCGUUUCUCUGCUGUUCUAUUGAGUUUGUUAGUAUGCUUAUUUUAUUGUGUUUGGUUAUAGAUUUUUUGGAAUAUACCACAAUUAAAUAGGUAUUUGAAUUAUAUUGUUUUUGUUAUAGUAAAAUUGUUCAUAUUAUAAAGAUUUAAGAGAUUUUUAAUUAGAGAUUUAAAUUUUAUCAUACAAAAGAUAAUAUUGAAAUUAAAAUAAUUUUAAUGAAGAAUAUAAUUGAAAGAUAAAAUAGCAACAUCAAAUCAAGUAUUUCAUUUCUAGAUAGGUAUAUAUAAAAAUGAAUAAGUCAAUUGUUAGCUAUCAUUUUUUCUUUUUCAUAUAUUAAUCAUAGUAAAGUUCAGCCGAAAAUUGUGUCCAUGAAAAAUCGGAAAAUUGUUUCCAUGAAAAAUCGAAUCCAGAUUCUCUUGAACAAUUCAUCUUAAGAUAAAUUCAUUAACCACUUAAGUUCAAUCAUUAGUUCAAUUGUUAACUAAUAACUAUCCUAUCCAAACAACUUUUGUUGAACAAUGUAUCAUAUUUUUAUUAUAAUGUUUUAUGGUGAUGUAUGACAUCGGAAUUUGAAUUUCUCUAAUGUUAUGUAUCUUGCGUAUUAGAAAAACUGUUAUGGACUGAAUAAUUACACGUAGUGAUGAAUAAAUAUAGUGUUAGAUUGGUCUAUAUGUAGAUAGAAUAAAGGUUGUGACUAUUAGUAACUAGCAUAACUAACCUAACGGUCACUAGCAUAGAAAUAAGAAAUUGUAUAAUUGAUUUAUAACUAACUUAUACUUUUUCAUCAAAAAAAUUAAAAAAAUCUAACUUAGACUUUUUGUUUUUAUUUGACAAAUUUUAUUAAUUAGUUUGUUAGAACUUAGAUGAAUAUUUUACCCAUUUGUUUCGGUUUAACAAUCUCCAAUAUCCCUUUUUGAGCAUGCAGUCAAUCUCCUUUAUGUGGCUAUUUUAUAAGAUUACUUAACCUUUCUGUAUUGAAUUUUAAACGGGCAAGAACAAGGUUGAACCAAGAAAAAACUACCAAAUGUGCUCCGGUGGUUAUGUGUGAAAGAACUAGAGCAUAUAAAGAUUUGGGUCAAUCUCUUGAAUUUCGACGGUGCAAACAUGGCUCCAAAAUGUUUCUAUUUUUUCCAUCAUCAUAUGUGAACAGAUGGGUCUUGUUGUAAGGAAACGUCCAACAAGACAAAAGUUUGGGUCAGCUGUUUGUGCAGGGAUAACGUCAAGUUGCAAUUCUGGAGUGCCUAAACCUAUUCACGCACCAAACCCAAAGAGUGUUGGGCGUUAGGGGGGUGUAUUGGAAAAAACCUCAAGUCCUGCAUCGGAUAGAUAAAACUCUUGAUAAGAGUUUAUAUAGAGGAGGCAAUCCUCACCUCACAAGCCGAUUUUGUAAGGUUGAGUUAUACCCUAAAUUUCAACAAGUUAGCAUGACCCUUCUAGUUUUGAGUUUUUUAAUUUUACGUGUGAUCUCAAAGCCAAAAGUUGCCUUAACUGGUUUUCAUUUUUCAUUUUUCAGGCUUCAUUUGAUAUUUUUCCUUCUUAUUAUCGUUUAGUUAGACAAUUAUUUUAUAAGGAAUGCUAAGGACACUCUUUCUCACAUUCUCUUUCAAACACUUCCUCAAUUAUUGGUCCACAUCAUCAAUUUUUUAAACCCAAUUACUUGGUAACCGGUUAUGCUGGUUUCUAUUCAAUUUCACGCACCAUUUUUUUUUUCAAAUUAAAAAGAAAAGAAAAUACAUCUAGCAUGCAUGAAUAAUGUUCUUCUUUCUUUUUGCCCAGAUCUGAUUUAUGAGAACAGCCAAAAUCAACUCUCCUGUGCCAAACACAACUACACAUCUCAACAAUCCAAACACAUACAACAUCCUUACAAAUUAAAAAUAUGGGCUCUUUUUGUCUAUUAAAAAAUUCAGGUUCUUUGAUUUUCUGAAAAUGAUUACUUGUCUCUUUAUGUUUAUAUCACCUGCAAAAUAUCCAACAUCCAUCCAGAAGAAAUUUGCUUAAAUUUGACACAGACAUUAUACCAAUUUUUUGAAGAUUCAUGUCCCUUCAUCGCAUCUACAGUGUAGAGGAUUGAAUCACUUGUUUAUUGCUUGCCACCAUUUUUAUGAGUUUGACGAAGAAGGUUGUCUUGCCACUAAUCUUGUAAUUGACGAUAACAAAUUGGGACUUUGGAAAAACAUGAAAUGUGGUAAUGAAAAGUCAAGAAAAUAGCCUUUUUUGUUUUUAUUGUUUGUUUUAAAAUUAAAAUAAAUGAAACCAACCCAGUCGGUUGCCUGUUGCGAAGCAUUUUAAUAUAUAACAAUGACUUGGGCCAAUAGUGGAGCGAGUAUCUAAGGGCGUCUGUUUGAGCGACUGCGCCUAGCAGUCCUCUUAUUUUAUUUAUACACAUGAUGAACAUGAUCAAAACGUGGGAAGGUGGCUUUUAAACUUUUAAUGGAACUCUGUCUUUCUUUCGGUUUCUUUUGCCCAUUUUUUUACAUACAAAAGAUUUGUUAAUUAUAGUACAAGAGGUACUCAAAACUCAUUACAUCAAAUCAAAUUCAUUGACUAAAACAUAUGAGAUUUAGGUAAAUGCUAGCAUUUUAAAUAUUUUACAAAAUCUGGAAGUUACAUUCUUUUCUUGAAUUAGUAACAUUUGAAUAAGUGUUAGGUAUAUGCCAUGUUACUAAAUGGUUUUAGUAUCACUGUUGAAUAAGAUUUAAAAAGUGUUAAGUAUAUAUAAGCUAAUUCGUAGCCAAUUACUAGCAAAGGUUCAUAGUUGGCCACAAAAUUUUCGUAGCCACUCUCUAGCUUAUUCAUAGCAAAAAGUUGUUAAAAAUAUGUUCCCGCAGCUACAUAGCAAUAGUACGUCAUAGAAAUAGAUUUGAGAUCAAUUUCUUUAUACUAUAUAAUUACAACCAUUUCUAUAAGACUAACAAAAAAAAAAAUUUCUAUAACCAGCAACAAAUAAAACUUGUCAGAAAACAAACAACAAAUAAAACUUAUAAAUAAUCAAGUUGGUAAUCUUUCUUGGAGUAAACUCCAACCGAACAUAGCUAUUCUUUAUGGCUGAAGUUUUCCACAAAUUUGCAUGUUUACGAACUACUGAUAGCAUCCUUUGACAGUAAAAUUUAUGCCGUCAUGCUGGCUCCAUUCAAAUGUAUCCGGUACGUCUAAUGUUGGAACCCUAGUGUAUAUUGGAAAAAACUUGGAGUAUACUAGUUGGUUUGUGGAGCCUUUGGAAUGUAAACACAAGGAUGAAGAAACUAGUGUAAAGUGUGAAUUGAAAAUUUUAUGUCCCACAUUGGGUAGAUCACACACUCUAGUAGUGUUUAUAUAUAUGGGAUAUCACUUCCAAGGGUGUUCCCUUGGGGUACACACUUUUGUGAACGGAGUGAGCGCUUGCCAAAAAUUAUAUAUAAGACACAUGCGCGGCGACGCCGUCGUCCGACCGGGCUUGGGCUAUAAAGAAAUAUAUUUUGGUGCUCAGAAAAAUGAAAAAUUAUUUUUUAUUUUUUUGCUCCGAGAUUCCCGCACGCAGAGACCACGUUUCCACGUCGUGGGUCGCGAACCGGGUCGGCGGAGAAAACGAGAAACGAGGUCAAAUCCCCUCUAUAAAUAGAGAGCUCGGGAUUAGUAUUCUUCACUCCAAAACCGAGAAUCGAAUCCUCUUCUCUGGUUUUCUCCCCUUCUCAUCUCCCUCGGUUUGUGUUGACGAACCGUUCUUUUCUUCCUCCUUCUUUGGUUUCUCGAGUGGUCUGCGUACCAUAUUAGAGUGGUUUUUCGAAACCAUAUUGAGGUGUUAUUCUCGAGCGAUUUCUGGCAGUGCAGCCUUUAAUCGUACAGAAAGAAUCUGGGCUGUUUUAUCCUGGAGACGGCGCGGUUGCUAGUCUACCUUGCACAAUUUAGGUAGUGCCGCGAAACGUCUUAAAGAAAGCAACCUGGUCGUGACUCACCCCGGUAAUAGUUUCAAAGCUCUGUCGUAAUUUUAAAAUCCAAAACAACAUCUAACCGAGGCUGCACUUCAAAGAGUUUUAGUACCAAUUCGUCUCCUUUAAUUCUCCCUUUACGGUCUAAAACUCUCAACCAAUUCCAGCUCCACUCACACACACACACACACACCUCAUUCUACCACAAAUCUUCCCAAUAUAAGAUACUUUCUCCAUCUACUAAUUUUCUUCUUACAAGAUUUGCUAACCAAUUUGGUUGAUCUUCAUUAUCCCUUCUAAUAUUAAUUCUUCUAUAGUCUUCCUAGAUGCCAUCUAGAAUGAAACAUAAUAUAGUGGAUUAUUACUCAAGCGUCAAGCCGAAUUUAAUAAAACCAAUCUAUCUCCAGUUGAUAAAUGGCGACUGUUCCAACAUGAAAGUCUCUUCUUCAUUCUCAAUUACCGGGCACCAUAUUGAACAUAUUCUUGUAUUAGUGCCUAGGGUUACACCAAGAAACAUGAAAUGUACACUAUCGAUAUUGCACGCAAGAAAACUUGCCACGUCUUAAAAAAAAUAAUCCUCCAAAUUCAAGCUAUAUAAUUUACUUUUGAAGAAUGGCAAUUGGAUUUUCUUAUAGGCUUUUGGGGGAUCAUUUGCUCAAUCCUACUUAACCGUUCCUGGCGACAUACUUAUUUUAAGUUCUUGAACAAUUUAACAGACAAUAUUUAUGUCAUGAUAGUUGUGAAAUACAAGAGGUGGCUCAAAGACUAACAGGUAACAAUAAUACCUUAUCUAUACACCCUCAGAAUGGAUAUAAAACCUGCAUAAACUUGGUCUGUGGUGUAUUGGACUUGAUAUAUUUAUGUAGAAUUUAUGUUGAUGCAUUUACUGGACCUUAUUUUAUAAUAAGCAGCUUUUUUACUUUCAUCUCACAAGCAUGUCCAUUCAUUUUCUUGGCAACAUAAUGUCAUAGCAAGUAUCAAGCAUGCACUAAUGUCUCAUUUCGAAAGGAAGAUACUUUCUAAUUAUCUAUAAUAACUAGAUAAGUAAAGAAAAUGAUUAGGUAGUUGAAUUAUUGUCACUAUUAUUUUCUAUAGAGGUAGUUAAUUAAAAUAAUUCAUACUUCAAUCACAACAAUGACAGAGAAAAGCAAAGAUUAAAAGAAUAGCAAAUUGGCCCAAUGCAGUUACAGAUAGAAAAGGAGAGAAGAUGUCUAUAUCAUAAAUGUAGAAAAGGAGAGAAAAUAUAACUAUUACACACCUCAAAUAAAAUCAUUGCCAUACAUCUUUUACAUCUAGACCAAACCCCACUCACAUCAAUUUUAUUUAUAUACAUUCAUAUAGUCACCUCAUAAAAUCUUUAGACACAAAAGGCAAAGAGUGAGGUUCCACCAGUAUAGUUAGAAUAGAAUCCUAAAGAGACAUUAUAUCCAUGACCUACAUAAACACAUCCAUUACUAAUUGACAUACCCCCAUAAACACUAGCUCCAGUUUCAUAGAACCAUAAUAUAUGUCCAUUUCUUCCAUUAAUUGCAUAAAUGUGUCCCAAUCUAUCUGUAGAUCCAACAAAAACAACUUCAUUUGCCACACUAACAGGGCCACUAGCAGUACUAUUAAUGCUAGGGUUAGCUGUAGACCAUAGAAUUGUUCCAUUGCUAGCAUCCAUUGCCACCCAUCCUCCUGAUGUUGUAUUCAUAUUUGAUGGUAAAAGUUUGAAAAUUUUGGCAUCUGAAUUUGCAAUAUUGGUAUAUAUUCGUUUUUCAUCAGUUGCUGCACCAAAUGUUCCACCUCCGGCUAGUCCACCAGGCCCUGCUUCCUGUAAUAUUUUGAGCUUAUAAUUAAAUUAGUUAUUGCAGAAGUUCGAUCUCUAAAAACUUCGUACUACACUAGCAUUUGUAGCGGCUGAAGUUCGAACUAGAAAACGUCACAACUUCAAACUAAACAAAAAAUGUUAUUGGGUCAACGCUAAUUGUAGUUGAGACCCCAACGACAAGGUGUGGCAUAAAUUGAAAUGAUAAUUGAUCAACACUAACCACAACUGAAAUCCAAACAAAAACUAAAACAUAAGGUGGUGUUGGUGGUGUCAUGAAUAUAUCAAAAUCAUAGUUAAUAUUGUAUUGAACAUUUAAAAACGAUAAAUAAAUAUAAACAAUUUUAAAAAAAAAAAUGUUAGGAGUUAAUUCAAAACUAGUCAACUAAUAAGUUUGCUUGUUGUGCAAGCAACAACUGUUGUAGGAUUUUCUCUGUUAUGGUAGUUAGAGUUAUGAUUACAAGUGAAUAAACAAAGAAGUGAAGUGUACCCCUAAAAAAAAAGUAGUGAAGUGUAUGAUUUCCAUUCAUAAACUCUCUCUCUCUCUCUCUCUCCCAUAAUCUUUUUCUACUUAAGUGAAAUUAUGUUUCAUCUUGUUCUACAAAAACAUCAUUUAAAAAGGAACGAAUAGAGUGUAUAUUACCGUAAACCAUAGAAGGGUUCCAUUGUCGCGAUCCAAUGCCCAAGCAAAUCCACUUUUCUGAACAGCAACAACAAUAUCUUUCUUUGUUCCAUUUACAUGUGUAGUUAACAUCAUUGGUGCCUCUCCAAAAUCUGCAUCUGGUAUAGAACCUUGAGGUGGACAAUUAGAAAUUGAAGCAUUGUUACAUGAAACAAACCAUACAUCAUAUCCUCCUAAUUGUUUGUACCAUUUGAUAUUACCACUGUCCAAAUCAAGGGCCAAGAUUGAAUUUGAGUGAUUUUCUGGUUCAACACACUUGUCUUGUUCAAUAGGAGUAGUUUGAUUAUUUUGUCUUUCUUGACAUUCAAGUACGUUUUUUGGGGCAGAGUAGAGAUUUCCGGUGGCAAUAUAGACAUGUUUUCGAUAAACAUCAAUGGAAGGACUACUUCCCCAAAUGGCAGCUCCAGCAUAUGCUCCUAUCUUUCCGUUGUUAUCCGGUAACAUAUAGGUUUUCCAUAAGAUGUCGCCGGUUUGAGCAUCAAGUUUUACAAGACUUCCACGAAAUAUGCAACAAUCUUUAAUGGUUGCACCUUCUUCUAGUGAAGAUGUUCCAACAUAGUAACUCCUAUAUAUUGAAAGUUUAGCAUAAUUAUACUUUGAUAUAAACGGGUCGAAAAGAAAGAAGGAAUGAAUGAUAGCCCCAAACUUGAUAGUCCCCAUACUUGAUUGGUGAGGUUAGAUAAAUCUUUCAAUGUUUUAUGAUACUCCAAAAAAAUAAAUAUUCAUCAUAAUUAUUUUCUUCUUGGUUUCCAAUCUCUAAAAAUAAGGCGAAAUCACAAACAAAUUGCAUUAAUCACGAGCCACUUGAUGGUAGAAAAUCUACAUAAGGACCAAACAAGAUUUGCAGUUUCUCUCGAAGACAAUGAAUGAGACUUCCCUUUAAACACUACAAGAAUUUUGGUUUUUAUUGAGGGAAAUAAACCCUCAGUAACACACAUUAGUGGCAGAUUUGUAUCCCUCAGUAAUACUGGCGUCAGUAAUGUUACUGACGGAAUUUUCCCUCAUUAGUGUAAACAGCAAUGAAGAAACACUAAUGAAGUAGUAGUAUUUUCAAAAUUGUACCGAAGAUCAAAUCAACAAGACCUAGUCGUAGUUUGGUCUGUUCAACCACAAACGCCAUUGACUAGAGGAGAAAAAUAUAAGUUAAUAAGUAACAAAAAUUAAAUAAAAAUAAAAACUAGUUGAACCAACUGUGAUUCAACCAAUUCAAUUGUGGUUCAAUUAGAUUACGAUAUAAUCAAGAACAAACCAACCGACGAACUAGCUGAUUCUUAUUUCAAUCAAUUGAACCAACUGAUAUAAUCUGAUUUUUAAAACAUUGGAAAGAAGAUUAAGAGGCUUGAGCAAGAGAAUGUAAUUUACUAACCCAUUGUAAUAAGUUCCAGACAUGGUAACAACUCCUGCAGGGUGAUUAUCCAAAUGAGUCAACCAAACAAGCUCACCAGUUCUCCUUUCAAGACCAAUAACAACAGCAGGUCCAUAAAUUCCAACAAUCAACAAAUCUUCAGCCACAGUUGGAGUUGCUCUAGCCAAUGUCCAAUUUGCAUUAAUUAUAAAUCCAGUUGUAUUUAAACCUGUCAAUUUCUCCAAGUUUUGCUUCCAAACAAGUGAUCCAUCAACUUGUU
rnacentral:lncRNA from 1 species